CCUACGGGUGGCAGCAGUGAGGAAUAUUGGUCAAUGGGCGUAAGCCUGAACCAGCCAAGUCGCGUGAAGGAUGAAUGCCCUAUGGUUUGUAAACUUCUUUUAUAAGGGAAUAAAGUGAGGCACGUGUGCCUUUUUGUAUGUACUUUAUGAAUAAGGAUCGGCUAACUCCGUGCCAGCAGCCGCGGUAAUACGGAGGAUCCGAGCGUUAUCCGGAUUUAUUGGGUUUAAAGGGAGCGUAGGUGGGUUUUUAAGUCAGUUGUGAAAGUUUGCGGCUCAACCGUAAAAUUGCAGUUGAUACUGGCAGACUUGAGUAUAGUUGAGGUAGGCGGAAUGCGUGGUGUAGCGGUGAAAUGCAUAGAUAUCACGAAGAACUCCGAUUGCGAAGGCAGCUUACUAAGC
rnacentral:rRNA from 1 species